AAAAAAAAAACCAGGGACAAUAGCAGAAAAGUUAAAAUAGGGACAGUAGCAAAAAAGUAAAAAUAGGGGCAGUAGCAUAACGUUUGUAAACAGUCGACAGUAGCAGUUUCUUCAGUUCACAGUAGCAGAACAUUUGUAAACAGUCAGAGCAGUAGCAGCAGAUUUCCGGUCGGUGGCAGUAGUAGCAGAUUUUCGGUCAGUGACAGUAGCAGCAGAUUUCCGGUCAGUGGCAGUAGCAGCAGAUUUCCGAUCAGUGGCAGUAGCAGCAGAUUUCCGGUCGGUGACAGUAGCAGCAGAUUUCCAGUCAGAGACAGUAACAGGGAAGUAUGUUUCCAGUCGGAGGUAGNNNNN
rnacentral:lncRNA from 1 species